CCUACGGGUGGCAGCAGUGGGGAAUAUUGCUCAAUGGGCUUAAGCCUGACGCAGCGACGCCGCGUGAGGGAUGAAGGUCUUCUGAUCGUAAACCUCUUUCAGCAGGGAAGAACGGUCACUGUGCUAAUCAGCAGUGAAUUGACGGUAACUACAAAGGAAGCACCGGCUAACUCCGUGCCAGCAGCCGCGGUAAUACGGAGGGUGCGAGCGUUAAUCGGAAUUAAUGGGCGUAAAGCGCUCGUAGGCGGUAUGUCAAGGCAAGGGUGAAAUCCCCGCGCUCACCGUGGGAACUGCCUUUGAAACUGGCAAACUGGAGUGUGGGAGAGGAUAGCGGAAUUCCAGGUGUAGGAGUGAAAUCCGUAGAUAUCUGGAGGAACAUCAGUGGCGAAGGCGACUAUCUGGCACAUAACUGACGCUGAGGAGCGAAAGCGUGGGUAGCAAACAGGAUUAGAUACCCUAGUAGUC
rnacentral:rRNA from 1 species